rnacentral:rRNA from 1 species
UGGGGAAUAUUGGACAAUGGGCGAAAGCCUGAUCCAGCCAUGCCGCAUGAGUGAAGAAGGCCUUUGGGUUGUAAAGCUCUUUUAGUGAGGAAGAUAAUGACGGUACUCACAGAAGAAGUCCUGGCUAACUCCGUGCCAGCAGCCGCGGUAAUACGGAGAGGGCUAGCGUUAUUCGGAAUUAUUGGCGUAAAGGGCGCGUAGGCUGGUUAAUAAGUUAAAAGUGAAAUCCCGAGGCUUAACCUUGGAAUUGCUUUUAAAACUAUUAAUCUAGAGAUUGAAAGAGGAUAGAGGAAUUCCUGAUGUAGAGGUAAAAUUCGUAAAUAUUAGGAGGAACACCGGUGGCGAAGGCGUCUAUCUGGUUCAAAUCUGACGCUGAAGCGCGAAGGCGUGGGGAGCAAACA